GAAAUGCGAUAAGUAAUAUGAAUUGCAGAAUUCAGUGAAUCAUCGAGUCUUUGAACGCACAUUGCGCCCGCCAGUACUCUGGCGGGCAUGCCUGUCCGAGCGUCAUUUCAACCCUCGAGCCCAGCUCGGCGUUGGGGCAGGCGGGAAGGCGCGUCCCCCCCGGGGGCCGCGCCAGCCCGCCGCCCCCAAAUACAGUGGCGGCCGCCGUUGGGAUGCCCUCUGCGUAGUAGCAAUACCUCUCGCACCGGGACCCCGCGGACGGCCCGCCCCGAACCCCAAGCGCUCGCCCCUCGCGGCAGCACCACAGGUUGACCUCGGAUCAGGUAGGAAUACCCGCUGAACUUAA
rnacentral:misc_RNA from 1 species